UGCAUUGUGGGCUACUACUGGCGGGAAUUUUCUAUUGAUCUAAUUUUUCAACUCUUGUGGAAGGAUCCAUUUUGGUAUAAAAAUGGUGCAUUGAACGGCUGUUAACACAUUUGAAUUGAAAGUUUCGUCGAAAAGAAAUCUAAUAACUGUAGCAGAAAAUUUGAACAACCUAAUGUUUAGAGAAAGCAAUGUAAAGCAUUUCUUUAAAAUGAUAACACAACUUAAAGAAAUCAAAAACUUUUCCAAUAUAACAUUAGCCAUAGCCAUGCUUACAUCAAUUACAGAUAACUUUUCAUUUUUCCAAAAACUGGUUAUGAUGUUGGAUGCCAUUUCUUUUAACAAUAAGUUGUAACUGCAUGAAUCCCAAUUAUAAGCACACUAAACUUCUAAGUGUAUUCUAAGUCAUACACCAUAUAUAUAACAAAUUUGUGAAGAAAAUUGAUUAAAAAUAAUUUAACUCAUCUGUACUCUGUAGGUCCUAUGUAUUGCACUAGGACUGAAGACAAACACUGCACUUGGACUGAAGACAAACACUGCACUUGGACUGAAGACAAACACUGCACUUGGACUGAAGACAAACACUGCACUUGGACUGAAGACAAACACUGCACUAGGACUGAAGACAAACACUGCACUAGGACUGAAGACAAACACUGCACUUGGACUGAAGACAAACACUACACGUAGACUAAAGACUUUAGACAUAAUAUCCAAGUUAAAUGGGACUAGGGACCACUGGAACUAGCUCCCUCAAAAACAGAUUCAUUAUUGACCUCUAUAUUGAUGUGUUAUGAUGAAAUCAUGCUUUUGAUAGUUGCAUUGAUAAAUAAUCGUGCAUUAAAACAUUGGAUUGACUUUGACCCAAGACUUAUUAUAGUUUCUCCAGAGUAUAAAUGAGUUUGCCAAUUUGAAGUGUUUAGAAGAAAAGUGUUCAGAAUUUUAAUAUUUACCAAUUUGUGAAAUUUGAUAGUAUGGCUAAUGGCUGGUGCACCAAAAUAGAUUUUCAUAAUUUGCUGUAUUUUCACUGAUACAAAUUCUGAAAAAUUGUAACAGCAAAUAGCUUCUGUUUAAAGCAGAUAUAAAUUAAGAGCUUUUGUUAAAUUUCUUUAAUUUAUGUUGCCCUCCUUGAUGGAAGAAGACCCAUUCAUGGCAGAUAGCAAGAGUCAUAAUAUACCCAAAUAUGUUCCACUCCAACGAGAGGGAUUUCGUGGUGAAUAACACUCCGGGAUGAGUCGCAUAUACCCAAAUAUGUUCCACUCCAACGAGAGGGAUUUCAUGGUGAAUAACACAUCAAGAUGAGUCGCAUAUACCCAAAUAUGUUCCACUCCAACGAGAGGGAUUUCGUGGUGAAUAACACUCCAGGAUGAGUCGCAUAUACAGCCUACAUAUGUUGUGCUACUGAACAAUGAAUAUUGUUUCAUGGUAGAUGGAUCUCGCAUCAGAAUGUUUAGCAUGUAUGGAUUUGAUACAGCCAAAAUAUGUUAUACUCCUAGACAAUGAAGAUGCUUUCAUGGUAUACAACACUUGAGGAUUAUUGGCAUAUGCAGCCUAUAUAUGUAACUCCGCUCCAAUGAAGAUAGUUUCAUUGUAGAUAGUGCAUUAGGAUAAGUCACAUAACCAGCCUAAAUAUGUUGGCACUCCUUUACCAUGAAAGAUGCUUGCAUUGUAGAAAACACAUAAGAAUGAGUUACAUAUACAGCCUCAAUAUGUAACACUCCUUUACCAUGAAAGCACAUUGGGACAAGUUGCAUAUUCAACUUAAAACAGAUGAUGUUUCAGUCGUAUCAGGUGCAGCAUGAUAGCCAAACAGUUGAACUGAUUAUUGUGAUGAGACAGUUUAUUGCUUUGGAAUAUCUAAUUAUAUAGUUUAUAGAUUUAGAUAAUAAAAUUCUGUAAUGUUCAUAAUAUCAGAUGAUAAUUUGUUAAGUGCCCUCAAUAUGUCUUCAACGAGAUAUUAACAUGCACAAUUAAGGAUGUACUGUACGAAAUCUUCAACAUUCUUAUUCAUAAAAGUAGUUUCUGAUUCUCAAUUUUAUAAGAUAUAUACAUAUUUACCUGAAUUUAUUUUUAAUGUAAUUGUAAUAAUAUGACUGUAUUUAGAUUGUUUGAAAUUCAAGUUGAGUUUCAAUUAUUUCUUUUCAAAAUAUGAUAUAUCACAUUCUUCUGGUUUCAAUUUUUGAAAUUUAAAAAUGAAAUAUAGCCAAACGAUCAAUUGAACAGUGGUGUUGGUUGAAGUUAAUACCAGCUCUUCAUAGGAUCUUAAAAUGCCUAAAAUGGAAACAAUGUUUAAAUUUAACAAGUUACCAUAUCUACUGAUGAAGAAAUUAGAAUAUUGUGUAUGUUCCUUUUUUGUACAAAUGGACAUCUUUUGAGUAAUUGAUUGGAACACCCAAACAAUAAUUUAAUCAUUUGGGUUUUUUCUUGUAUAUCCAUCAUUGAUUUUGUAAGAUAAAAAUUUUAAAUAAAGUCAUUUUUUGUUAAAAUUAUUUCUCAUUUUUAUCAACACAAAUAAAAUUCUAUUAAACUAAUAGUUUAGUUCAUGCUCCUUUUAUCUAUAUCUUAAAAGUUUUGUGGUGGACUAAGAAAAUAUCAAAUGAUCAUUUCAGAAAUACACUUGAUUGCAGCGCUGCAUCUUCACUAACAUUUAACAUAGUUGGUUCUGGGUUUCUGAUCUAGUUCUUGUAGGUGUGUUUCUUUGUUUUUUCUAUAGAGGAAUCGGCGGUUUCUAAGUCUUCAGGAUAUGGUUUUGUCAUUCAAAGGGAACUCGCAAUCUUGCAAUGUAAUUCUGAAAUGAUCUAUAUUUGAUAUUUUAUUUUCAUUGAAAAAGAAACAAUAUUAAAUUUGUUGUAUGAACAUUUGAACUAUUUAAACUUUAUAAUUCAUAAUUUUUGGAAAUAAAAUUCAAAUUGUACCUGACACAGUUUGGAAAUAAAAUUCAAAUUGUAACUGACACAUUUUGGAAAUAAAAUUCAAAUUUUAACUGACACAGUUUGGAAAUAAUAUUCAAAUUUUAACUGACACAUUUUGGAAAUAAAAUUCAAAUUGUAACUGACCCAUUUUGGAAAUAGAAUUCAAAUUGUAACUGACCCAUUUUGGAAAAUAAAUUCAAAUUGUAACUGACAUAUUUUGGAAAUAGAAUUCAAAUUGUAACUGACCCAUUUUGGAAAUAGAGCUCAAAUUGUAACUGACACAUUUUGGAAAUUGAAUUCAAAUUGUAACUGACAGUUUGGGAAUAGAAUUCAAAUUGUAACUAACACAUUUUGAUGGAUAGAAUUUUAAAAACAAGAAAAUUUAUGUACUUCAUUUAAGCACAAGUGAAAACACAAUUCCAAAAUUUAAAUUUUUGCUACAUUUGAUAAAUUGGAUUUGCAAAAUCACUGAUGGCUUACAAGGUUAAUUCCCUUAUUAGUUAGAUAAUGAAGUAUAGUCUAGUGGACCCUGUAGACAUUCUACUAAAUGUAUUGAUAUAUUAAAAAUUUGUUUAUAUCUCAAUCAAAAUUUGUACAUGCCUCGCACAAAAUGGUGCAAGCAGAGUUGCAUGUACUGGACAGAGUCGGCUAUCAACUUUUAUAUAAAAAACCAUUUCACAAUCAAUAUUUGUAAAUGCCUCACACAUAAAGGUGCAAGCAGAGUUGCAUGUACUGGACAUUGUAGAGUAUUUUUAUAACAAAACCACAGAACUGGUAUCCAGGAAAUUGAAAUGAAUCAACGAUACUGUCAUUUAUGUUGUAGAAAUAUAUUUUUCAGCGUUCCGCAUUAUAGCGGAAAAUUCUGUCUUAAAGUUUCUGUAAUAUUGUGUAUGGGUCAUAAUGAUUUGAUGGGUCAGGUGACCUAAUGUUUUGUUAUGUUAAUUUGUUAUUCACGAGUUCGUGAAAAAAUUGUCUAGGCGGUCAUUCUAGCUGUAGAUAUCGUACAGUUAAAACUUUUUUUUUUUGCAUAAAAAAAUGUUUUUUUUAUAUAAUCAUGACUAUGAGUACGGCAUCAUUACCCCGAAAUGGCUCUUGCAUUGCUCCGUGCGCAGGUUUCCAAACUAUAUAAGUUGUUUUUUCCUGUGCGGAGAGUGUCUGUUUAUGACGGGUAUUUAUGAUAUGAUAUUUAUCAUUUGGUAUGUUCUUGGAAGUUAUAGAUAUUCAUUACUAUUGUUGCCGAAAGUAUAUUUUUUGGUUCACAAAGUUGUGUGUUAAAUUACUUAGUAUAGAUACUAUUAUUGUGUUAUAUAUGAUGUAUAUAUGAAAUUAUUGUAUUGUACUGAAUUAAAUGCUGGCUUCAGUCCAGUCUGUCUGCACGGCAAAAUGCAUAUUUUAGUUUAGUCUAAUUUAGUUGGUCAAAAUUAUUGUGUAGUUAAGGCUAAUAUAUUUCUCAUUAUAACUUACUUAUGAUGCAGAUUUAAAAAUGUACUACAGUGACAUAACACUACACGUUACAAUAUAUUUAGAUACCGUCACUUACUUAUUUUGUACUUUCUGUCAUGAUGCAAAUUUUUGUCAUGUUAUUUUAAACAUGGUGCAUUACUUUUUUAUAGUUUCUUUAUGUAUUAUGACGUAUGCUAUAUUUGCUAAACUUGAAUGCAUGUUCAUUAUGUUGAUGAAAAUAAAAUAUGAUGUCUAGGUUAUCAGCAAUAUGAA